AGAGUUUGAUCCUGGCUCAGAACGAACGCUGGCGGCGUGCUUAAUACAUGCAAGUCGUGCGAGAACGGGUCCUUCGGGGCCCUAGUAAAGCGGCGCACGGGUGCGUAACACGUGGGCAACCUGCCCAACGGUUCGGGAUAAGCUCUCGAAAGGGGGUCUAAUACCGAAUGAUAUUCAGAGGAGACAUCUCCUUUGACUCAAAGACGGGUUAAACCGUUGCCGAUGGAUGGGCCCGCGGCCCAUUAGCUAGUUGGCGGGGUAACGGCCCACCAAGGCGGAGAUGGCUAGCUGGUCUGAGAGGAUGGCCAGCCACACUGGGACUGAGACACGGCCCAGACUCCUACGGGAGGCAGCAGUGGGGAAUAUUGCGCAAUGGGCGAAAGCCUGACGCAGCGACGCCGCGUGG
rnacentral:rRNA from 1 species